GAUGAACGCUGGCGGCGUGCCUAAUACAUGCGAGUCGAGCGAACAGACGAGGAGCUUGCUCCUCUGACGUUAGCGGCGGACGGGUGAGUAACACGUGGAUAACCUACCUAUAAGACUGGGAUAACUUCGGGAAACCGGAGCUAAUACCGGAUAAUAUAUUGAACCGCAUGGUUCAAUAGUGAAAGACGGUUUUGCUGUCACUUAUAGAUGGAUCCGCGCCGCAUUAGCUAGUUGGUAAGGUAACGGCUUACCAAGGCGACGAUGCGUAGCCGACCUGAGAGGGUGAUCGGCCACACUGGAACUGAGACACGGUCCAGACUCCUACGGGAGGCAGCAGUAGGGAAUCUUCCGCAAUGGGCGAAAGCCUGACGGAGCAACGCCGCGUGAGUGAUGAAGGUCCUCGGAUCGUAAAACUCUGUUAUUAGGGAAGAACAAAUGUGUAAGUAACUAUGCACGUCUUGACGGUACCUAAUCAGAAAGCCACGGCUAACUACGUG
rnacentral:rRNA from 1 species